rnacentral:Y_RNA from 1 species
GGCUGGUCUGCAGGGAGUGAGUUAUCUCAACUGAUUGUUCACAGUCAGUUACAGAUUAAACUCCUUGUUUUACUCUUUCCCACUUCUCACUACUGCACUUGACUAGUCUUAA